rnacentral:rRNA from 1 species
UACAGAGGUCCCGAGCGUUGUUCGGAUUCACUGGGCGUGAAGGGUGCGUAGGUGGCAUGGAAAGUUUGAUGUGAAAGCUCAGGGCUUAACCCUGAAAUGGCAUUGAAUACUGCCGUGCUGGAGGUUUGGAGGGGGGACUGGAAUUCUUGGUGUAGCAGUGAAAUGCGUAGAUAUCAAGAGGAACACCAGUGGCGAAGGCGAGUCCCUGGACAACACCUGACACUGAGGCACGAAAGCUAGGGGAGCAAACAGG